rnacentral:misc_RNA from 1 species
UUUCCGUAGGUGAACCUGCGGAAGGAUCAUUAUUGUAUAACCGAGGUGCGAGGGCUGUCGCUGACCCGAAAGGUCGUGCACGCCCGAGUGCCCUCACCACCAUCCAUCUCACCCCUAUGUGCACCACCGCGUGGGUCCCCCUUUGGCUUGUUCGGAGGGGGGCUUACGUUUUCACACAAACUUUGUAUGCAGUGUAGAAUGUAUUUUUUGUUUUUGCGAUCACGCAAUCAAUACAACUUUCAACAACGGAUCUCUUGGCUCUC